rnacentral:rRNA from 1 species
AGAGUUUGAUCCUGGCUCAGAGCGAACGCUGGCGGCGUGCUUAACACAUGCAAGUCGAGUGCGCGCCUGUAGCAAUACAGGUGGCGCACGGCGCACGGGUGCGUAACACGUGGGCAAUCUGCCCUCGGAUGGGGGAUAACUCGCCGAAAGGCGAGCUAAUACCGCAUGAUAUUCCGGAGACCUCGGUUUCUGGAUUCAAAGAGGCCGCAAGGCCGUCUGAGGAGGAGCCCGCGCCCGAUUAACUAUGGUUGGGUGAGGGUUACGGGCUCCCCCAGGGCCUUUGGAUUCGGGUAAGCCCGGGUUCUGGAAGAAGGGAAUUGAACCCCGGGCCCCACCACCCUGGGGAAAAACCUGGAAAGAAACCACCGGGGGCCCCCCAGGAAACCUUCCCCUAACCGGGGGGAAGGGGCCCAAGCCCAAGUUUUGGGGGGAAAAUU